rnacentral:rRNA from 1 species
AUACGGAAGGUCCUGGUGUUAUCCGGAUUUAUUGGGUUUAAAGGGAGCGUAGGCCGUCAGGCAAGCGUGUUGUGAAAUGUCGUGGCUCAACCAUGGACUUGCAGCGCGAACUGCCCGACUUGAGUGCGCAGAAAGCAGGCGGAAUUUGUGGUGUAGCGGUGAAAUGCUUAGAUAUCACGAAGAACCCCGAUUGCGAAGGCAGCCUGCUGUAGCGCUACUGACGCUGAAGCUCGAAAGUGCGGGUAUCGAACAGGAUUAGAUACCCUGGUAGUCCGCACGGUAAACGAUGGAUGCCCGCUGUUCGGUCUGCGGACCGAGCGGCUAAGUGAAAACGUUAAGCAUCCCACCUGGGGAGUACGCCGGCAACGGUGAA